rnacentral:tRNA from 1 species
GGGGAUGUAGCCCUGUGGUAGAGCACUUGCCUGGCAUGCCUGAGGCUCUGUGUGCAAUCUCCAGCAUUUCCA